CCCCACUUCUCUCUCUCUCUCAUUCUCUCUCCAUCUCGACUCCCCAUCUCUCUCCAUCUCAACUCCCCAUCUCUCUCAAUCUCUCUCCAUCUCGACUCCCGACAAAAACAGCCCCAUCCUCGACUCCCCAUCUCUCUCCCUGCCCAUCCUCAUUUGGCCGAGCGAUGGUCUAAGGCCCUCCCUAUCCACGCACCACCUUCAUUCCUCUCUCAAUCACGACCUCCUCUUCUCUCUCUCUUUGUCUCUGAAGCUCGAUUGAAUUAGAUUCACGAACGCGAGUUUGACCACUAGUCUUUCGGUAGCUUAGAUUUGCAGCAUGGGAGUUCUGAAAGUUCAAAUAUGACAGAUGUUAGAUAAGGUUCAAGCCCAGGUUCAAAAGUCACUUGGGGAGUAUGUGUAGCAUGCACUUCCAUACAACAAGAUUUUUCUAACCUGACGGUGGUUUUUCCUCCUAGAUCUUUGCACACUGAGUAAUCGACCUCAGUCCGAGCUCUCCAGUUAGGUGGCAAUGUAGCAAUUUGUCCUCCAUGCUUGUUUGUAGGAGAUUGGUUUAAAGGCUUGUCUACAAAACUUAAUGUAAGAACUUAAAACUUGACUCACCUAGAACGUCUGUUAAGUCAAGCUGAGUUUAGUGACUAUGGUAUUUGUUCUGUUCCAUCAAAAUUUAGAAUC